rnacentral:rRNA from 1 species
UACGAAGGGGGCGAGCGUUGUUCGGAUUUACUGGGCGUAAAGGGCGCGUAGGCGGCCCUCCUUGUCGCGUGUGAAAGCCCCGGGCUCAACCUGGGGAAUUGCGCGCGAGACGGGGGCUUGAGGUUCGGGAGGAGGAGGCGUGGAAUUCCCAGUGUAGAGGUGAAAUUCGUAGAUAUUGGGAAGAACACCGGUGGCGAAAGGCGGCGGCUCUGGACCGAGGACUGACGCUGAGGCGCGAAAGCGUGGGAGCAAACAGG